rnacentral:tRNA from 1 species
GGAUUAUGGCUCAAUGGUAAAACACUCACCUUGCAUGUGUGAGACCCUGGGUUCGAUCCUCAGCACCA